AGCGUGAGUGAUGAAAACCGGACCUUAGGUGGGUCUUGUUGUGCCGUUUUGGUGCAAAGCUGGGGACCUACCCAUGCUAGGGCUAGUCAUAGUUACACUGACACGCA